rnacentral:rRNA from 1 species
UACGAAGGGGCUAGCGUUGCUCGGAAUCACUGGGCGUAAAGCGCACGUAGGCGGACUCUUAAGUCGGUGGUGAAAUCCUGGAGCUCAACUCCAGAACUGCCUUCGAUACUGGGAGUCUCGAGUCCGGGAGAGGUGAGUGGAACUGCGAGUGUAGAGGUGAAAUUCGUAGAUAUUCGCAAGAACACCAGUGGCGAAGGCGGCUCACUGGCCCGGUACUGACGCUGAGGAGCGAAAGCGUGGGGAGCGAACAGG